UGUUGGGGUUUUUUUUUUCCCCACAACUUUCCAUGGGGAGAGUUAAGAACUCCUGCUCUAGAAUAGCUAUAGCCAGAAAGCAUAGAUUGAGGGAACUAUGUAUGUACCGUAUUGGCUGAUUUUAAUUCCAAAGACUCAGAAAUGCUCAAGGAUAAACCCUUUCUUUCCCUCAAGGAGCUUUUGGUUUUAUUGCCUUGCCAAUGUGUAAGAGUUGGGAAAGAGGUUGGUGUGGACUGGAUUUGAACUGGACCAUGAAGACAAGAGUAGGAACUUGAUCGAUGUGGUGUGAUAUUAUGGGCCCAGAUGAUUCUUCAGUGUGGAGGGCUGUCUUGUGUGCUGUAGAAUAUUUGCCCACUAGAUGCUGGUAGCACAUCCCCACCCCCAGCCUCCAGUUGUGAAAACCAGAAAUGUUUCUAGACAUUACCAUGCCAAAUUACCAUGUCCCCUGGGGGCAGAAAUCACCUUCAGUUGAUAACUACUGGAUUAAAGAAAAUAAAGAUACGGUGAACCCUGA